rnacentral:snRNA from 1 species
GUGCUCGCUUCAGUAGCACAUAAACUAAAAUGGGAACAAUACAGAGAAAAAUAGCACGACCCUUGCCCAAGGAUGACAUGAAAAUUCGUGAAGCAUUCCAUAUUUAA